GUAUAUAUACACAUAUAUAGAUGUGUGUACAUAUACAUAUAUGCAUAUCUAUAUAUAUAGUUUUUUGUUUUUGAAGGUCUUGCUCUGUCAGCCAGGCUAGGGUGCAGUGGCACGAUCAUAACUACUGUAGUCUUCAAAACUCCUGGACUCAACCUGUCCUCCUGUCUCAGCUUCCUGAGUAGCUGGGACUACAGGCAUAUGCCUCCACACCCAGCUAAUUAUUUUAUUUUAUUUUGUAGAGUUAGGGCCUCACUACUUUGACCAGGUGGCUCUUGAACUCCUGGCCUCAAGUGAUCCUCCUGCGUUGGCCUCCUAAAGUGCCGUGAUUAUAGGUGUGAGCCACCACUCCCAGCCUUCCAACUAAUGUUUAUUGAGUUCCAAUUAUUUGCCUGGUCCUAUGCUAGUAAAAACCCCACCCUGUCUUCAUGAAGCUUAUUGUCUAGUGGGUGUUUCAGGCUCCAGGUAAUUCCACACAAUAUGAUAAAUGCUUCCAGAUUAAGUACAAGGAGUGCCUUCUCUGCCCUACACUCUGGGCUAUGAACCAGACGUCAUGGGAGAAAACACUUGGGACGAUAGGUUGAAGGUUCUUGAUAACAUGUUCAUAGGUUUAGCCUUUGAAGCUGUGAACCUUUAGAUGGGGGAGCCCCUGAGGAAUUUAGUGCAAGGAAGUGAGUGACUUGUUGAAAGCUGUGAUUUAGGAAAUUACUCCAGUAGCCAAGUAAGGGGUGAACUGAGAUGGGAAAAGAAGGGGAAGCAGUAAGGCCAGUCAAGGAGGCUAUCUCAGGAGGCCAGUGGGGAUGCACUGAGAACUUGAAUUAAGAAGAGUAGAAACAGAGAGGGCAAGGCAUUUAAAGGAUCUGGCAAUCAACUGCAUGUGGAUGGCAAGGAGCAGGAAUACUGGCGGUGACACCAAGAUUCCAGGUGCCUGGGGAAAUGCGGGUGCCAUGCACCCAGAAGGGACAGCUCAGAGCAGACGCAGCACUGGGAAGAGAUGGCGAUGGUGGCUUUAGACAUGUUGAGAAGAUGGCAACUGAAAGUUCACAGAUGGAAUUGUGGCUCUCGAGAUGAGAUGGUGAGCGUGUGGCGGUGGGUGUGGAGAGAGGCGGUAUCAGAGGUGGAGAGACAUUACGUCAUCCCAGAUAUGGGGUUUCUUUGGGAACUCUGGCAGGGUUAUUGCUGAAUCAUUCCGUGAGGCAAAUUACUGGUGUGUUAGCUGGACAAAGCUCACUGUAAUUAUGCCCUUGUGUGUUCCACCACUCCCCUUGGCAUUUCUCUGCUUAUGCUGCCAUUUAAGGCCAGACUUAACAUGAACACAUAAAAUCAUAUCUGCAAGAGUCAGUGGCAGAGAGGAUAAAGGCAGUGCUGUUUUUCCUUUCUUGAAUACACGCACGUGUGCAUGUGUACAUGCACAUAUACAGACACACACACAUCCCUUAUCAGAGAAACCACAGGUUCAGAGGACUUUGAACUGUGGAAAAGCUUUUGCUUCUGAGAUAGUUAGAAUCUUUUUGCUUUCUCCAUUAAAAUGCAAGACCCUCCCAUCUGCCCAGUAGAUAAAACACGACUGUGAGUGCCUUGCAAUUCCUUGAAGGCUGCCUUGCGCUCGCUCGGGAGUACCAGACAGACCUCAUCUCACUGCCAGACACUGGGUGCUGUCGAUGCACCUGGUCGGCCAGUCAGGCCCAGGAUCGGAAGGCAGCAGGCUCGGAUUUCACUCUUGCUUAGAUUGCUAACUUAUGACCCAGUUGUUAGGCUGUGUUGGGUCAGUGGGCCCUAGGCACGGUCCCAACUCUGCUAGAGCUUGCUUAACUUUCCAUGUUCAGUUUCAGGGGCUUCACUUUAAGAAGGUCCUUGGCAAACUGGGCAGCAUACUGGCUAGAACGGGCAGCAUGUGAGAUGUCCGGAAACCAUGAAGAAACAACAGGAGUAAUAAUUAUAGUUGUAUAAGGCUUUCCAUUGCAUCAUCCCAUUGGAUUUCCUCAAUCUUUUUUUAAUUUUUAUUUUUAAACAGGGUCUCACUCUGUCACCCAGGCUGGAGUACAGUGGUACAAUCAUAGCUUACUGCAGCCUUGACCUCCUAGGCUCAAGCGAUCCUCCUGCCUCAGCUCCUGAGCAGCUGGAACUACAGGUGUGUGCCACCAUGUCUGGCUUGAUGUGCUAAAUCUUGCAAGGUAUUUACACUUACUCUAAAGAGAUUCUAGAGACCUUAGAUGGGAGAGACUGAGGUUGGUGCCCAGGAACCUUCUUCAGUAGAUUAUUUAACAGAUGGCUUGGGACAGAUUGGAGAAGGAAGUGGUCACUACAGAGGACUGCCAUGGCUUCACUCUCAUUUCCUUUCUUCAGCAUGACCCUGUAACUGAUUAUAAGAGCUAAUAUAUAUGAAGUGCUUUCUACGUGCCCAGCACUAUGCUAAGUGUUUCAAAGCAUUUAAGCUUCAUAACAAACUGUGAGGUGGGUGCUGUUAUUAUUUCUAUUUAUAGAUGAAGAAACUAAGCCUUGGAAGCAGAAGCACCUGCAUUUCUGUUUGUCACUGUUCCUUCUGUUCCUUAAAAGCCUGGCUUGUUCUCAUUCUUCAAGACUCACUUCCUGGUCAUCGGCGAGGCUUUCUCUGCCCACCUAUCUAGUAGCCCACUACUAACUCCACGGCCCUGGCAACACUCACCCAUGUCCAUCUCCUUCAUAGGACAUAUUAGAAUCUGCAGAUAUCUUUAAAAAAAAUUUUUUUUAAGAGAUGGGGUCUUGCUCUGUUGCCCAGGCUGGAAUGCAGCGGUGCAAUCACAGCUUACUGCAGCCUCAAACUCUGGGGUUGAAGCAGUCCUCCCACCUCAGCAUCCCAAGUAGCUAGGACCACAGGUGUGAGCCAUCAUGCCCUGCUAAUUUUUUAAAAAAUUGUAGAGACAAGGUUUUACUAUAUUGCCCAGGCUGGUCUCAAACUCCUGAGCUCCAAUUUUCCCACCUUGGCCUCCCAAGGUGCUGGGAUUACAGGCUUGAGCCAAGGUAUUUUAUUUACUUAUUCACUGGCUUAUUUUUGGUCUCUACUAUUCAGACAUAAGUUUGGUGAGGACAGGGACUUUGUCCCUCCUGUUUGUCCUAUGCUGGUGUCUAGCAGGGUGCCCAGAAUAUAAUAGGAACUAGA
rnacentral:lncRNA from 1 species